GGCCGCCGCGACGGUAAGGGUUGCCGACUUCCGAAAGGGACGAGGCACGAAGAGGGAAGCCGGUGCGCAGGAAACAUCCUGCCAAUCCGGCGCUGCCCCCGCAACUGUAACCGGCGAGCCGUGCUUCAAGUGCCACUGGGUAACCGGGAAGGCGAAGCAACGGUCCCGACCCGGAAGCCAGGAGACCUGCCCAUACCGGUCGUUCGAG
rnacentral:ncRNA from 1 species